rnacentral:rRNA from 1 species
CACGGGGGGAGCAAGCGUUGUUCGGAAUCACUGGGCGUAAAGGGCGUGUAGGCGGUUAAAUAAGUGGGAUGUGAAAUCCCUCGGCUCACCCGAGGACCUGCAUCCCAAACUGCUUAGCUUGAGUAUGGGAGAGGAUGAGGGAAUUCCUGGUGUAGCGGUGAAAUGCGUAGAUAUCAGGAGGAACACCGGUGGCGAAGGCGCUCAUCUGGCCCAAUACUGACGCUGAGGCGCGAAAGCUAGGGGAGCAAACGGG